rnacentral:rRNA from 1 species
UACGAGAGGCCCAAACGUUAUUCGGAUUUACUGGGCUUAAAGAGUUCGUAGGCGGCGCGGAAAGUGGGGUGUGAAAGCCCUCGGCUCAACCGAGGAAUUGCGCUCCAAACUGCCGUGCUAGAGGAACCUAGAGGUGAGCAGAACAGAUGGUGGAGCGGUGAAAUGCGUUGAUAUCAUCUGGAAUACCGGAGGCGAAGGCGGCUCACUGGGGGUUUUCUGACGCUGAGGGACGAAAGCCAGGGUAGCGAACGGG